rnacentral:RNase_P_RNA from 1 species
AAAGUCCGCCGGGCGAUCGCCGGCAACUUCGGUUGCGGGAGGAACGUCCGGACUCCAAAGAGCGGCGUAGCAGGUAACACCUGUCCACCGAGAGGUGAGGAUCAGAGCAACAGAGACGAGUCGUUGCACUUGCCUGCCUUGGCAGGCGGAGCAACGGGUGAAACGGGCAAUCUCUACGCGGAGCAACACCAAAUAGGCAGCCGUUGACCCGGCUCGGCGAGGCUGCGGGUAGGUGGCUUGAGCCGGCGCGCGAGCGCCGGCCUAGAGGAAUGAUCGCCACGGCGCGGCAACGUGCCGCACAGAAUCCGGCGUACAGGCGGACUUUGCCU